rnacentral:rRNA from 1 species
GACGUAGGUGGCAAGCGUUGUUCGGAAUCACUGGGCAUAAAGCGCGCGUAGGCGGCUAAGUCAGUCGGGUGUGAAAGCCCUCGGCUCAACCGAGGAGCUGCGCCCGAUACUGCUUGACUUGAGGUCCGGAGGGGAGAGUGGAAUUCCCGGUGGAGCGGUGAAAUGCGUAGAGAUCGGGAAGAACGCCGGCGGCGAAAGCGACUCUCUGGUCGGAAUCUGACGCUGAGGCGCGAAAGCUAGGGGAGCAAACGGG